rnacentral:rRNA from 1 species
UACGGGGGGGGGCAAGCGUUGUUCGGAAUUACUGGGCGUAAAGGCUCGUAGGCGGCCAACUAAGUCGGACGUGAAAUCCCCAGGCUCAACCUGGGAACUGCGUCCGAUACUGGAUGGCUUGAAUCCGGGAGAGGGAUGCAGAAUUCCAGGUGUAGCGGUGAAAUGCGUAGAUAUCUGGAGGAAUACCGGUGGCGAAGGCGGCAUCCUGGACCGGCAUUGACGCUGAGGAGCGAAAGCCAGGGGAGCAAAGCAGG